UGCAGUCGAACGAUGAUGCCUAGCUUGCUAGGUGGAUUAGUGGCGAACGGGUGAGUAACACGUGAGUAACCUGCCCCUGACUCUGGGAUAAGCCUGAGAAAUUGGGUCUAAUACUGGAUAUGAGCAUCUAUCGCAUGGUGGGUGUUGGAAAGAUUUUUUGGUUAGGGAUGGACUCGCGGCCUAUCAGCUUGUUGGUGAGGUAGUGGCUCACCAAGGCGACGACGGGUAGCCGGCCUGAGAGGGUGACCGGCCACACUGGGACUGAGACACGGCCCAGACUCCUACGGGAGGCAGCAGUGGGGAAUAUUGCACAAUGGGCGAAAGCCUGAUGCAGCGACGCCGCGUGAGGGAUGACGGCCUUCGGGUUGUAAACCUCUUUCAGUAGGGAAGAAGCGAAAGUGACGGUACCUGCAGAAGAAGCGCCGGCUAACUACGUGCCAGCAGCCGCGGUAAUACGUAGGGCGCAAGCGUUAUCCGGAAUUAUUGGGCGUAAAGAGCUCGUAGGCGGUUUGUCGCGUCUGCCGUGAAAGUCCGGGGCUUAACUCCGGAUCUGCGGUGGGUACGGGCAGGCUAGAGUGCAGUAGGGGAGACUGGAAUUCCUGGUGUAGCGGUGAAAUGCGCAGAUAUCAGGAGGAACACCGAUGGCGAAGGCAGGUCUCUGGGCUGUAACUGACGCUGAGGAGCGAAAGCAUGGGUAGCGAACAGGAUUAGAUACCCUGGUAGUCCAUGCCGUAAACGUUGGGCACUAGGUGUGGGGGACAUUCCACGUUUUCCGCGCCGUAGCUAACGCAUUAAGUGCCCCGCCUGGGGAGUACGGCCGCAAGGCUAAAACUCAAAGGAAUUGACGGGGGCCCGCACAAGCGGCGGAGCAUGCGGAUUAAUUCGAUGCAACGCGAAGAACCUUACCAAGGCUUGACAUGGACUAGAUCGCCGCAAAGAUGUGGUUUCCCUUCGGGGCUGGUUCACAGGUGGUGCAUGGUUGUCGUCAGCUCGUGUCGUGAGAUGUUGGGUUAAGUCCCG
rnacentral:rRNA from 1 species